AGACACCCUUCUGGGGCAAGACUUGAUUCAGUGGGGCUUUGGUGCUCACUGAGUCUGCCCCCUGAGUGUGUCCCG
rfam:Myotis davidii contig95098, whole genome shotgun sequence.